rnacentral:rRNA from 1 species
UACGUAGGGGGCGAGCGUUGUCCGGAAUCAUUGGGCGUAAAGCGCGUGUAGGCGGCCCGGUAAGUCCGCUGUGAAAGUCCAGGGCUCAACCCUGGGAUGCCGGUGGAUACUGUCGGGCCUCGAGUCCGGAAGGAGGCGAGUGGAAUUCCUGGUGUAGCGGUGAAAUGCGCAGAGUAUCAGGAAGAACACCCGUGGCGAAGGCGCUCUCUGGGACGGUACUGACGCUGAGACGCGAAAGCGUGGGAGCGAACAGG